AGUGGGAUAACUGGGCCAAAUAGUGUUUUAAUUCCAAGUUUUCUGAGAAAUCUCCAUACUGCUUUCCAGAGUGGUUCCACCAAUUUGUAGUCCUACCAGUAAU
rnacentral:pre_miRNA from 1 species